CCCUUAGAUGUUCUGGGCUGCACGCGCGCUACACUGACACUAUCAACGAGUGCUCCUGGUUUGAAAGGAUCGGGUAAUCUUUUGAAAUGGUGUCGUGAUGGGGAUAGAUCAUUGCAAUUAUUGAUCUUGAACGAGGAAUUCCUAGUAAAUGUGAGUCAUCAGCUCACGUUGAUUACGUCCCUGCCCUUUGUGCACACCGCCCGUCGCUCCUACCGAUUGAGUGAACCGAUGAGUAGUCCGGAUUGCGAUCGACCUCGGUUAAUCGCGAGAAGUUCCGCAAAUCACUUCACUUAGAGGAAGGAGAAGUCGUAACA
rnacentral:rRNA from 1 species